AGUGAACGCUGGCGGUAGGCCUAACACAUGCCAGUCGAACGGCAGCACAGUAAGAGCUUGCUCUUACGGGUGGCGAGUGGCGGACGGGUGAGGAAUACAUCGGAAUCUACUUUUUCGUGGGGGAUAACGUAGGGAAACUUACGCUAAUACCGCAUACGACCUACGGGUGAAAGCAGGGGAUCUUCGGACCUUGCGCGAUUGAAUGAGCCGAUGUCGGAUUAGCUAGCUGGCGGGGUAAAGGCCCACCAAGGCGACGAUCCGUAGCUGGUCUGAGAGGAUGAUCAGCCACACUGGAACUGAGACACGGUCCAGACUCCUACGGGAGGCAGCAGUGGGGAAUAUUGGACAAUGGGCGCAAGCCUGAUCCAGCCAUACCGCGUGGGUGAAGAAGGCCUUCGGGUUGUAAAGCCCUUUUGUUGGGAAAGAAAAGCAGCAGGUUAAUACCCCGCUGUUCUGACGGUACCCAAAGAAUAAGCACCGGCUAACUUCGUG
rnacentral:rRNA from 1 species